rnacentral:rRNA from 1 species
GACGAACGCUGGCGGCGUGCUUAACACAUGCAAGUCGAACGGAAAGGCCCUGCUUUUGUGGGGUGCUCGAGUGGCGAACGGGUGAGUAACACGUGAGUAACCUGCCCUUGACUUUGGGAUAACUUCAGGAAACUGGGGCUAAUACCGGAUAGGAGCUCCUGCUGCAUGGUGGGGGUUGGAAAGUUUCGGCGGUUGGGGAUGGACUCGCGGCUUAUCAGCUUGUUGGUGGGGUAGUGGCUUACCAAGGCUUUGACGGGUAGCCGGCCUGAGAGGGUGACCGGGCCACUUUGGAACGGGGUUCCGGCCCAGACCCUUAUGGGGGGAGGAGGGGGGAAUUAUGCAACAUGGGCGGAAGCCUGAUGCAGCAACGCCGCGUGCGGGAUGACGGCCUUCGGGUUGUAAACCGCUUUCGCCUGUGACGAAGCGUGAGUGACGGUAAUGGGUAAAGAAGCACCGGCUAACUACGUG